rnacentral:lncRNA from 1 species
GGUCAAAUCACAGACAAUAUCUGUCACCCGUCUUGCUAAAGAGUCUUCAGACUAAAAGCCCCACGACACUGGCUCUUCUCCAGAGGACAUGAUGUCCAGUUUCCUUCCAGCAGCCGCCACCGCCACCCUCAACAUUUCUCAGUUUGGUAACGUCUGACUUGCACUGUGUGCUAUUUUUAAACGCAGUAGCAAGUCUGGCAUGCGCCUCCUGCCCCAUUCCAUUUCAUCCAGUUUCUGCCAAUUACAUGAGGAUUCAAAAAAAUUUAACACGUACUUACAUAAAGCACGCCUUAGGUGCCAGACUCUGAGCCUUUCACAAGUAUUAAAUCACUUAUCUUCAUAACAACCCCAUGAAGUAGGUGCUAAUAUUACCAACAUUUUACAGAGGCAGAGACUGACAAAUGAGCGAAGUAACGCGCCCAGAUCCCUUGGCAGCCAGGACUGAAAUUUAACUGAGCGUGCCUGCUCGGGACCACAUUCUCUCCCCUCCUCCUCUCUCUCUCUCUUUGUCUUUUUAGGGCCACAACGCAGGAGUACGGAAGUUCCCAGACUAGGGGUCAAAUCCGAGCCACAGCUGCCGGCCACAGCCACAGCCACGCCAGAUCCAAGCUGUGCCUGUGACCUACACCACAGCUCACAGCAAUGCCGGAUCCUUAACCCGCUCAAGGAGACCAGGGAUCGAACCUGCGUCCUCACGGAUACUACUCGGGUUUGUUCCCACUGAGCCCCAGUGGGAACUCCAGGACUAUAUUCUCUCAACAAUGGCACCCAGCUGUCUCAGGGAGCUGUCUGAGUCCUGAUUCUGCCACUCUGUGUGGGCACCACCCUUCCCACCUGUGUGUGACCUACAGAGCUGACAGGCAGGCCUUUGUGCGUGCCGCCACGAUGGAAAGAAACGUUGAGAAGGAUGAGACCAGCGCAGGCUGUUUUUACAAAAACAUAUCUGAAGCAAAGCCACGAGGACCCAACCAACAGCCCAGCAGGGAGAAGGCUCCCUUCUUCUGCAAGCCCGCAGGGACCCCCACGUCCUAGAGAGAACUGCACCGAGCCGAAUUUCUCAUCUUGCUCACCUCCUGAGGGGAGAUGGGAAGGGACCCACGUUGAGAGACACAUCACAGCCUAGAUGUCUACUGGGGCACCAUCCCCAUGAGGCCAGACGCACGUUAGCUGCUGGAGGAUUCCUGCUCUGCCUGACUCAGAGUGCUCCCCGCUUGGCUUGGUCAGUGUCCGAGGCACCUGGGAAGAGGCCAGGGCUGUGGGGGGAGGGGGAACACUGGGGCACUGGGAGCCACAGCUCUUAGCAACAAUCCAGAGGUGUUCAGUCAUUGAAACUGCUCUGGUACAGACCCCCGAGCAUCACCAUCGACCACUCCUGGUGUCAACAAAACAUUCACCUUUGAGACUUGCUGGCUCCAGGCAUGACAAGAAAGAUUUUGUUAUCUCUAUUUUGUAAAAGAACGGGCCCAUUCAAGUAGGCAAGCCUUGACACUGUGCUCACUCCUUACGCAUUUUCCUACCCAAUACCAUAGUUUAAAAUUUUUAUAUUAUUUUCUUUGAAGUUUUAUUAAUUAUAGUUGAUUUACAAUGUUGUGAUAUCUGUUGCUGAACAACAAAGCGAUUCAGUUAUACAUAUACCCAUAUCCAUUUUUUUUCCGAUUCUUCUCCCAUAUAGUUUAUUACAGAAUAUUGGACGGAGUUCUCUCAAUGUUUUUUUUUAAGUGGAAGUGUAGUUAAUUGGCAAUGCUGUGUUAAUUUCAAGUGUGCAGUUUAAAUAUUUUAAAGAAUGAUGACACAAAAGAAAUUAUUUCUGAAUGUGUUUCAAAGAUCUUAAAGUUCUCGUUUACCUACAAAGAUACAUUUAACUUUUCUAAGAAGUAAUGCCUCUGGUCAUGACUUAAUGCACAGAAAAUUUAGUCAUAUUUACUAACUUAGAAAUUACUAAAUUGGCUAAUAGUUAAUUACUGUAAUCAACCAACUAGACAUCGACCAACCUACCAUUAACCUUAUUGCUUUUGGCUGAACAUUUUUAAAACAUUAAUAUUAGGGAAUUCCCAUUGUGGCUCAGCAGUAACAAACCCAACUAGUAUCCAUGAGGACAUGGGUCUGAUCCCUGGCCUCGCUCAGUGAGUUAAGGAUCCAGCAUUGCUGUGAGCUGCGGUGUAGGUCGCAGACGUGGCUCAGAUCCCCAGUUGCUGUGGCUGUGGCAUAGGCCAGCAGCUGUAGCUCCAAUUCGACCCCUAGCCUGGGAACUUUUUAGGGUGUGGCCCUACAAAGACAUAAAUAAAUAAAUAAAUAUUCAUCCUAGGCUAUUAAUU